rnacentral:rRNA from 1 species
UACGUAGGGUGCGAGCGUUGUCCGGAAUUAUUGGGCGUAAAGAGCUCGUAGGCGGUGUGUCACGUCGUUCGUGAAAACCUGCAGCUUAACUGUGGGCGUGCGGUCGAUACGGGCAUCACUGGAGUUCGGCAGGGGAGACUGGAAUUCCUGGUGUAGCGGUGAAAUGCGCAGAUAUCAGGAGGAACACCGGUGGCGAAGGCGGGUCUCUGGGGCCGAUACUGACGCUGGAGGAGCGAAAGCGUCGGGGAGCGAACAGG